rnacentral:rRNA from 1 species
CGUGUAGGCGGUCAGGUAAGUGGGAUGUGAAAUGCCCCGGCUCACCCGGGGACCGGCAUCUCAUACUGCUUGGCUUGAGUACGGGAGAGGAUGUGGGAAUUCCUGGUGUAGCGGUGAAAUGCGUAGAUAUCAGGAGGAACACCGGUGGCGAAGGCGCACAUCUGGCCCGAUACUGACGCUGAGGCGCGAAAGCUAGGGGAGCAAACG